CGCGAACGGCUCAUUAUAACAGCUAUAAUUUACUUGAUCUUGACUUCCUACUUGGAUAACUGUGGUAAUUCUAGAGCUAAUACAUGCACCAAAGCUCCGACCUUACCGCAAGAGCGCAUUUAUUCGAACAAAACCAAGCGGCUUCGGCCGUCCGCAGUUGACUCAGAGUAACUAAGCUGAUCGCAUGGUCUUGAACCGGCGACGUGUCUUUCAAGUAUCUGCCUUAUCAACUUUCGAUGGUAGUGUAUCUGACUACCAUGGUGGUGACGGGUAACGGAGGAUAAGGGUUCGACUCCGGAGAAGGGGCCUGAGAAAUGGCCACUACGUCUAAGGAUGGCAGCAGGCGCGCAAAUUACCCACUCUCAAAUGAGGAGGAGUGACGAGAAAAACGAGACCGUUCUCUACGAGGCCGGUCAUCGGAAUGGGUAAAUUUAAACCCUUUAACGAGUAUCUAUGAGAGGGCAAGUCUGGUGCCAGCAGCCGCGGUAAUUCCAGCU
rnacentral:rRNA from 1 species